UUGGCUCAGGAUGAACGCUGGCGGCAGGCUUAACACAUGCAAGUCGAGGGGCAGCGUGGAGUAGCAAUACUCUGACGGCGACCGGCGAAAGGGUGAGUAACGCGUGAGCAACAUGCCCGGUACUGGGGGAUAGUCGAUGGAAACGUCGCGUAAUACCCCGUAACAACAGGGUCCGCAUGGUCUUUGUUUAAGAGAUUCAUUGAUACCGGAUUGGCUCGCGUACCAUAGCUAGUUGGCGGGGUAACGGCCCACCAAGGCGACGAUGGUUAGGGGUUCUGAGAGGAAGGUCCCCCACAUUGGAACUGAGACACGGUCCAGACUCCUACGGGAGGCAGCAGUGGGGAAUA
rnacentral:rRNA from 1 species